UACGAAGGGGGCUAGCGUUGCUCGGAAUUACUGGGCGUAAAGGGCGCGUAGGCGGGUCGUUUAGUUAGAGGUGAAAGCCCAGGGCUCAACCCUGGAAUUGCCUUUAAUACUGGCGGCCUUGAGUAUGGCAGAGGUGUGUGGAACUCCGAGUGUAGAGGUGAAAUUCGUAGAUAUUCGGAAGAACACCAGUGGCGAAGGCGACACACUGGGCCAUUACUGACGCUGAGGCGCGAAAGCGUGGGGAGCAAAAGGG
rnacentral:rRNA from 1 species